AACGAACGCUGGCGGCAGGCUUAACACAUGCAAGUCGAGCGCCCCGCAAGGGGAGCGGCAGACGGGUGAGUAACGCGUGGGAAUCUACCGAGCCCUACGGAAUAACGCAUGGAAACGUGUGCUAAUACCGUAUACGCCCUACGGGGGAAAGAUUUAUCGGGGUUUGAUGAGCCCGCGUUGGAUUAGCUAGUUGGUGGGGUAAAGGCCUACCAAGGCGACGAUCCAUAGCUGGUCUGAGAGGAUGAUCAGCCACAUUGGGACUGAGACACGGCCCAAACUCCUACGGGAGGCAGCAGAGGGGAAUAUUGGACAAUGGGCGCAAGCCUGAUCCAGCCAGGCCGCGUGAGUGAUGAAGGUCUUAGGAUUGUAAAGCUCUUUCACCGACGAAGAUAAUGACGGUAGUCGGAGAAGAAGCCCCGGCUAACUUCGUGCCAGCCGCCGCGGUAACAC
rnacentral:rRNA from 1 species